CCUACGGGGCGCAGCAGUGGGGGAUAUUGCACAAUGGGGGAAACCCUGAUGCAGCGACGCCGCGUGAGUGAAGAAGUAUUUCGGUAUGUAAAGCUCUAUCAGCAGGGACGAAAAAAGACGGUACCUGACUAAGAAGCCCCGGCUAACUACGUGCCAGCAGCCGCGGUAAUACGUAGGGGGCAAGCGUUAUCCGGAUUUACUGGGGGUAAAGGGAGCGUAGACGGCAAUACAAGUCGGAAGUGAAAUACCCGGGCUCAACCUGGUAACUGCUUUGGAAACUGGAUGGCUAGAGUGCUGGAGAGGUAAGCGGAAUUCCUAGUGUAGCGGUGAAAGGCGUAGAUAUUAGGAGGAACACCAGUGGCGAAGGCGGCUUACUGGACAGUAACUGACGUUGAGGCUCGAAAGCGUGGGGAGCAAACAGGAUUAGAUACCCCAGUAGUC
rnacentral:rRNA from 1 species